GACGUAGGGCGCGAGCGUUGUCCGGAAUUAUUGGGCGUAAAGAGCUCGUAGGCGGCUUGUCACGUCGGGUGUGAAAGCCCGGGGCUUAACCCCGGGUCUGCAUUCGAUACGGGCAGGCUAGAGUGUGGUAGGGGAGAUCGGAAUUCCUGGUGUAGCGGUGAAAUGCGCAGAUAUCAGGAGGAACACCGGUGGCGAAGGCGGAUCUCUGGGCCAUUACUGACGCUGAGGAGCGAAAGCGUGGGGAGCGAACAGG
rnacentral:rRNA from 1 species